AACGAACGCUGGCGGCAUGCCUAACACAUGCAAGUCGAACGAGACCGUUCGGUCGUAGUGGCGCACGGGUGCGUAACGCGUGGGAAUCUGCCCUUGGGUUCGGAAUAACUCGCCGAAAGGCGUGCUAAUACCGGAUGAUGUCGUAAGACCAAAGAUUUAUCGCCCAGGGAUGAGCCCGCGUAAGAUUAGGUAGUUGGUGAGGUAAAGGCUCACCAAGCCGACGAUCUUUAGCUGGUCUGAGAGGAAGGUCCCCCACAUUGGAACUGAGACACGGUCCAA
rnacentral:rRNA from 1 species